AGAAUCAACGCUGGCGGCGUGCCUAACACAUGCAAGUCGAACGAGAAAGUGGGAGCAAUCCCACGAGUAAAGUGGCGCACGGGUGAGUAACACGUGACUAACCUACCCUUGAGUGGGGGAUAACCUAGGGAAACCUGGGCUAAUACCGCAUAAUACCUACGGGUCAAAGGAGCAAUUCGCUUUAGGAGGGGGUCGCGGCAGAUUAGUUAGUUGGCGGGGUAAUGGCCCACCAAGACAGUGAUCUGUAUCCGGCCUGAGAGGGCGCACGGACACACUGGAACUGAAACACGGUCCAGACUCCUACGGGAGGCAGCAGUGGGAAUUUGCGCAAUGGGGAAACCCUGACGCAGCAACGCCGCGUGGAGGAUGAAGCCCCUUGGGGCGUAAAACUCCUUUCGAUCGGGAAGAUAAUGACGGUACCGGAAGAAGAAGCCCGGCUAACUUCGUGCCAGCAGCCGC
rnacentral:rRNA from 1 species